AUUGAACGCUAGCGGGAUGCCUUAUACAUGCAAGUCGAACGAGAGGCGGACGGGUGAGUAAUAUAUCGGAACGUGCCUAGUAUAGGGGGAUAACUACUCGAAAGCGUGGCUACUACCGCAUACUAUUGGUGCGGGCGAGAAUGGAUUAGGUAGUUGGUGGGGUAAAGGCGCACCAAGGGAACGAUCCGUAGCCGGCAUGAGAGGACGACCGGCCACACUGGGACUGAGACACGGCCCAGACUCCUACGGGAGGCAGCAGUGGGGAAUUUUGGACAAUGGGGGAAACCCUGAUCCAGCCAUCCCGCGUGUAUGAGAAGGCCUUCGGGUUGUAAAGUACUGUUGGCAGAGAAGCGGUAUCUGCAGAAUAAGCACCGGCUAACUACGUGCCAGCAGCCGCGGUAAUAC
rnacentral:rRNA from 1 species